rnacentral:rRNA from 1 species
GCGAUGAGCCGGCGGCGAUCAGCUAGUGGGUGAGGUAACGGCUCACCAGGGCUAAGACGGGUAGCUGGUCUGAGAGGACGACCAGCCACACUGGAACUGAGACACGGUCCAGACACCUACGGGUGGCAGCAGUCGAGAAUUUUUCACAAUGGGCGAAAGCCUGAUGGAGCGACGCCGCGUGGGGGAUGAAUGGCUUCGGCCCGUAAACCCCUGUCAUUUGCGAUCAAAGCAUGCGACCUAAUACGUCGCAUGUUGAUAGUAGCGAAAGAGGAAGGGACGGCUAACUCUGUGCCAGCAGCCGCGGUAAUACAGAGGUCCCAAGCGUUGUUCGGAUUCACUGGGCGUAAAGGGUGCGUAGGCGGUCGGGUAAGUCUGACGUGAAAUCCUGGAGCUUAACUCCGGAACUGCGUCGGAAACUAUCUGGCUAGAGGAUUGGAGGGGGGACUGGAAUUCUCGGUGUAGCAGUGAAAUGCGUAGAUAUCGAGAGGAACACCUGUGGCGAAGGCGAGUCCCUGGACAAUUCCUGACGCUGAGGCACGAAAGCUGGGGGAGCAAACAGGAUUAGAUACCCUGGUAGUCCUAGCCCUAAACGCAGCAUGUUUGCUGUGAGAGGAAUCGACCCCUUUCGUGGCGAAGCUAACGCGUAA